rnacentral:rRNA from 1 species
GAGUUUGAUCCUGGCUCAGGACGAACGCUGGCGGCGUGCCUAAUACAUGCAAGUAGAACGCUGAAGACUUUAGCUUGCUAAAGUUGGAAGAGUUGCGAACGGGUGAGUAACGCGUAGGUAACCUGCCUACUAGCGGGGGAUAACUAUUGGAAACGAUAGCUAAUACCGCAUAACAGCAUUUAACCCAUGUUAGAUGCUUGAAAGGAGCAAUUGCUUCACUAGUAGAUGGACCUGCGUUGUAUUAGCUAGUUGGUGAGGUAACGGCUCACCAAGGCGACGAUACAUAGCCGACCUGAGAGGGUGAUCGGCCACACUGGGACUGAGACACGGCCCAGACUCCUACGGGAGGCAGCAGUAGGGAAUCUUCGGCAAUGGGGGCAACCCUGACCGAGCAACGCCGCGUGAGUGAAGAAGGUUUUCGGAUCGUAAAGCUCUGUUGUAAGAGAAGAACGUGUGUGAGAGUGGAAAGUUCACACAGUGACGGUAACUUACCAGAAGGGGACGGCUAACUACGUGCCAGCAGCCGCGGUAAUACGUAGGUCCCGAGCGUUGUCCGGAUUUAUUGGGCGUAAAGCGAGCGCAGGCGGUUUAAUAAGUCUGAAGUUAAAGGCAGUGGCUUAACCAUUGUUCGCUUUGGAAACUGUUAGACUUGAGUGCAGAAGGGGAGAGUGGAAUUCCAUGUGUAGCGGUGAAAUGCGUAGA